CAUGUCCCGUUCGUGUGCUCCGGUAUCCCUGAUUGAACCUGUGUGUACCGACCUUCGUCCGUUCUCCGACCAACCUUGUAAGCCUGACUCCUUCGUUACUUCUGCCUGCUUUGAUUCUUCUCCUGUGUACCGACUCCUGCCUGUCCGUUCAUCUCCUCUCUUCGCCUGGCGCCCAACUACCGCUGCUGCACCGAACUGCCUGCUCGAUCCCCUACCUCUGCAUAUAAUAAACGUGUAUCCUUGAACUACCUUGCAUCUUCCGAGUCCUGCAUUUGGGUCCUACUCUCGUUCCGAUGGGACGUGACAAUGAACUUGCAACAAAGCCAAAGUAUCAUCCUUGUUUCGAAGAUUCCUUGCACACAGGAAUGAAGCCAGACAAAAUAUCACCCUUGCUUCAAAGAGUCUUGUUCACAGGACGAGCCCCCACACACAGGUGAACCAGUCUACUCCUAAUCUUCUGAGAUGUGACCAAGGACAACUUCAUCAAUGCACACACAUCGUUCUCAAAGAAUGUGCCUUUGUUCACUUGCUUGCUCACCCCUUCUUUUGACCUUGUGUUUUUGGAAAUAAAGACUACACAAGAGGCUGAUUCACAACGUGUUUAGAGACUGUAACCGGCCUGUCUCUCACAUCCUCCUGAUCAGGAAGAUGAUUUCUUGGCCUCGUUUUUUUGUGCAUUAGUCCAGCAAAUUAGAUGACAAACCUAACAUUUUCUUGGUCCUUCGAGCCGGAUUCCAAGAUACCUGAAGAUCCCAGCUUCAGAGUCUACCUCCAGGAAGACCGUGGCCACCGCAACGCAGUUUAGGGGACUGGUUCUUGAGAUCUGAGGGUUGAUGGAAAUCCAAGGGCAAGAAGGCGUCUUGCUGCGCCACAUCUCUACCUCACUUCGAUCAACAUUGACGAAUGUGGGUGCCCCUUGAUGGAGGAACAGACCACGGAUGAACUGUUGUUUCAUCCUUUGAGCGUGGCCUGCUAAUUAGCACAACCCUGGUGUUAGCAACAAGACCAGCCGUCAAGAUGCCUCCCUUCUCUACUGAGGACUACUGCAGAGUGUCAGUUCUGGAAUCGAAAAACUGCCGGCCUGAUGUGGAUGGGAAUGAAACCACUUUACAGAUGUCUCCAAAUGGUGAGCAGAGGUGUGCGAAUAGACAGCCACCCAGCUCAACAAUGAGGACCGAAGUGAACUCUGGAAAGGAUAACGGACACCCCAGCAGUUCUCCUGGAAUUUACUGGGAGCAAAGUCAAACCAUAUGGGACAUUUAAAAAGGAAGACACAACAGCACCCGGAGAUUACGGAAGAAUCUGGUUGGCCUGCGUUGCAGGCCGCCUCGACACCAAGUGAGUGGCCAUGGACGGUCGCUACAGCUAAGAGCAAGAAAAAAAUAAUGUGAUUCAGUGUAUAAUAUUGACGUCAGACUUACAAAUAGAUUUGAGGGACUCUUACAAGACCCAGGUCAAGAAUGCUCAUCCUGCCCCACCAUUGAAAGGUGUGAAAUUAAAUCAUCCAAGAAAAGAUUGGGACCCCCAACAUUAAUAGUUGGUGAUGGAGCCAUCAAGGAUGUGAAAUGCUUUUGCAGUGUAAGGAACACUAAAGUACUGUUUUACUAAUGACAUAGUGUAGGAAUAAUUGAUCGUAAUUAUCAUACAUUCGCUUUCAAUAAAGAAAUGCUUUGCUCUGUCCUAGAUAACUUGGCAGUCUCCUAGCAGGAGAUAGCAAGAACAAAAACAUCUAAUCAUCAGAACUGUUAGAACUGCUGCCUGUUAAAGAAAUGAUGACCACACAUGUACUCAGCAAUAUUGCACACAAACAAGUACACCGUUUCCAACUAUGUUUUGCUCAUCCGUCUUUUUGUAAAAUCCAUGUAAAUAGGGAUGUUAUGAAACUAAAUAAAUAGAGGUGCUGAGGAGAGGAUAAUCAGAGUGCAGUGGUAAAUUGUACAAGACAGUUCCUCUCCUCUCUCCUCGCGAGCUGUCAAACUUGAACUGGUGUCUUUGCUUCCUUUUUGUCCAGUUUAAUUAAUGUCUAAUUGGUAAACCUGACAUUUACUUGGUCCUUUGAGCCGGAUCUCAAGAUACCUGAGGUUUCCAGGGGCUGUUUCGACGUCCAGGC